rnacentral:rRNA from 1 species
UACGUAGGGGGCCAGCGUUGUCCGGAAUCAUUGGGCGUAAAGCGCGCGUAGGCGGUCAGGUAAGUCCGGUGUGAAAGUCAUAGGCUCAACCUAUGGAUGCCGCUGGAAACUGCCUGACUUGAGUCCGGGAGGGGCGAGCUGGAAUUCCUGGUGUAGCGGUGAAAUGCGCAGAUAUCAGGAGGAACACCGGUGGCGAAGGCGGGUCUCUGGGCCGAUAUUGACGCUGAGGAGCGAAAGCCAGGGGAGCGAACGGG